rnacentral:rRNA from 1 species
AGGACGAACGCUGGCGGCGUGCUUAACACAUGCAAGUCAAGCGGAAAGGCCCUUCGGGGUACUCGAGCGGCGAACGGGUGAGUAACACGUGAGGAACCUGCCCUCAGCUCUGGGAUAGCUCCGGGAAACCGGAAUUAAUACCGGAUAUUACCCUGACCGACAUCUGUCAGGGUGGAAAGGAUUUCCGGCUGAGGAUGGACUCGCGGCCUAUCAGCUAGUUGGUGGAGUAACGGCCCACCAAGGCGACGACGGGUA